CCUACGGGAGGCUGCAGUGGGGAAUAUUGGACAAUGGGGGCAACCCUGAUCCAGCCAUGCCGCGUGUGUGAAGAAGGCCCUCGGGUUGUAAAGCACUUUCAGUGAGGAAGAACGCCUGGUGGUUAAUACCCAUCAGGAAAGACAUCACUCACAGAAGAAGCACCGGCUAACUCCGUGCCAGCAGCCGCGGUAAUACGGAGGGUGCGAGCGUUAAUCGGAAUUACUGGGCGUAAAGCGCGCGUAGGUGGCUUGAUAAGCCGGUUGUGAAAGCCCCGGGCUCAACCUGGGAACGGCAUCCGGAACUGUCAAGCUAGAGUGCAGGAGAGGAUGGUAGAAUUCCCGGUGUAGCGGUGAAAUGCGUAGAGAUCGGGAGGAAUACCAGUGGCGAAGGCGGCCUUCUGGACUGACACUGACACUGAGGUGCGAAAGCGUGGGUAGCAAACAGGAUUAGAUACCCUGGUAGUC
rnacentral:rRNA from 1 species